UACGGAAGGGGGCUAGCGUUGUUCGGAAUUACUGGGCGUAAAGCGCACGUAGGCGGACUAUUAAGUCAGGGGUGAAAUCCCGGGGCUCAACCCCGGAACUGCCUUUGAUACUGGUAGUCUCGAGUCCGGAAGAGGUGAGUGGAAUUCCGAGUGUAGAGGUGAAAUUCGUAGAUAUUCGGAGGAACACCAGUGGCGAAGGCGGCUCACUGGUCCGGUACUGACGCUGAGGUGCGAAAGCGUGGGGAGCAAACAGG
rnacentral:rRNA from 1 species